CAGAGGAGAGACAAAUGCUAACAAAGAAAGCAGCAACUGGUAUUGCAGUCAUCAAUGUAUCACCACAGCAUUUGGAUAUCUUAUUGGAGUCAUUUAGCUUUGGCUAGGUGACUUCUGCUUUCGCAGGACUCACACCUUCAUGACUCUGCAGUGUUAAUCUCAGCGGUUAGCUGAGUAGUCAUGUUUAUUCACCUUCAAAGUGGAUGAAACCGAUUGAGGUGGAUAAUAAGAUCGUCGUUUCUGAGAGUGUGAUUUACUCUGAUUCUGCCAGUCAUUCACCCCCCUUUGGCGGUGUCGAUGGUUUUUCCUUUGUCUGGGACAAAACCCACCGUGACGGGAGUCUGAAUAACAACAGUUGGUCUCAAAGUUUACCCGGCAUUGAUCUGAGUCAGACCUGGGCCUUGGUGUGUAACUUUGACCUUUGUGAGUGUGUUGAGGUCGAAAAGGUUUUGGAGGCCUGGUUAACCACUCAAUUGGAGGCUUAUCGGAGCCUGAAAAUACACAAUCUGAAGCUUCGUUCAGCUCCAUGGGCAGUGAUUUUGUCUCCA